UGUAAUCGGCCCCCGUGAACACCCAAUAUCUCAAAUCUCACUCAACGCUUCCCUUCAUGUCUACUCCUUCAACGAGCAUAAAAAGUUGGCUGGUAGAAAAUAUCACUGAAAACAAGUCAACUAAAUGCCAUUGGAUUACACAUGUGUGUACAUGUGUAUGUCUGACUAUAUAUUUAUACGUUCCACACAUGUACACUACAGAGAUACCCUGUUUUCUACAUUAUUUUCAACUUUUUUUCCUUUAUAUUUUACGCACAAUAUGUCGAAAUUCCAGAUAAUUGGUCAUUUAACGGUAUCAAUUUCCCCGUAUUUCCAGUCCAUCUAUGCCCAAUUUCUGUACACAUUCCGUUCUGGGUUGGAUUGAUUAACAAAUGAAAAGGAAUGCUGCCCUUUCUCACCUUCCACUCUACGUAUAUAUGUAUGUACAUAGUUGAUUCACCUCAUGGUUACUUAGCACAACAUGCCUAUUUAUGGUUCUUUGAAGAUGAUCAUAAAAAGUUUCUAUAUGAGUAUAAUAGUCAGUUUCAUGAUAAAUAAGUGCGAUCCAUACUACCCAAAACUAGCAUUUUAGCAGUAUCAACAGAGAAUGGAGCCAUAUCAUGCUAAAUAUGUAGGACAAACAACUAUGGAAAGAUGAAUAAGUCUUCAAUCUGAAGGUGGACAAGAGACAAAGUUUCAAAGUGUCUGAUUUGCUUGAUUCUUCUCUCACUUUCAAAACUCCUGUCCAAAUACGAUGAGAAUCUGAUCUUAUAUAAGUUUGGUGACUACUAUUUACAACUUGGGCACACAUUAUUCUGCCAUUACGUCUGGGAUUUACACGUUUGCCGAAUAUCUACGUGGGACGACACUGAAGGUUACUUAAGAACCGUUGACAGUUUUAGAUCUUAGCAAAAAUAACUUGAGAUAUGAAGAUCAUGAGAACAGCAGGAAACGAGGAACGUGAGGAGAAGCAGGAGGACGGGCGAGGAGGGCAAUAUAUGCGGCUACAUAUUUAAUACUUACACGUGGAGCAAUUUCCAGCAAACUCUGGGAUUUGAUUGCUGAGAAUUCGAUAUUAUGCGUGCUCAUUUUUCAACUAUUUUAUUGAUUCGAUCUCGAUUAACAUACAUAAAUAACUGUAGUUUGCAAGCACUGCACACAGCUAGUUAAUCGGUUCUGAAUUAAAAGUUUGCUUAUUUAUAUGUGUAAUGCAAGAAGAUUUACGCACUCACUCCUUCAAAUAAUUUGAGUAAGUGUAUCGCAUUAACCAUAAAAACUUUAUCGCAUCAUAUGAUUUACAAGUUUCGUUAAUUUAUUUAUUGGUUGUGAGUAUCGGCCCCAUUUUUUAUGGAAUUUGUGCAGCAAAUACACAUACCAACAAACAUGAUGCGAAUGACUAUUUGUAAGUCGGACAAAAUCAGGAUCGAUGACUACCACUCGUUGGGAACUCAAUUUGCCCAAUUCCUUAAUCCCAAGGAUUUCAAAGUUUUCUCGGCGUUUUUGGAUGAGUGAUGCAUUAGGGUUGAGUGCGAAGAGUUAUGACUAUCGCCUGGAUAUGCGAUCUGCGUGAGUUAUUGCAGUGGAAAAAUUGAGAUGCAGACAGUCACUGCUAUUUUGGAUCCCAGAUACGUUGCAUAAUGCUCGUUCUCACACUCUUGUUCGGACGAUGUUUGACUUGCCAGAUUGGAAAUUCAUUCGGUUUGAUUAACAUUUUAACCUACAAUUAUACUAUUUAAGGUGUAUUUUUGCAUGCAAAUUUGCGCCUAUGCGACCAUAACAGGAAAUUAGCACCAUCGAGUUGCACUAUGAAUGCACAUAUUUUGAGAUUUGAUCAUAUACUCUAAUUUGCAGCUAUACUAUUAAUCUUAAAUUGUCACAAUUUUAUCAGAUUUAUGCACUUUUAUUCCGAACGUAGAAAUACAUAGAUAUUAUGUAAAUAAAUAUGCUUGGAUAUCGGCUAAAAAA